rnacentral:rRNA from 1 species
CGCGUAGGCGGGCAUGUAAGUCAGAUGUGAAAUUUAUGGGCUUAACCCAUAACCUGCAUUUGAAACUGCGUGUCUUGAGUGAUGGAGAGGUAAGUGGAAUUCCUAGUGUAGCGGUGGAAUGCGUAGAUAUUAGGAGGAACACCAGUGGCGAAGGCGACUUACUGGACAUUAACUGACGCUGAGGCGCGAAAGCGUGGGGAGCAAACAG